rnacentral:snoRNA from 1 species
AACAUGCUUCCUUAGAUCCACCUUUGUGGAUGCCAAUCUUGAACUGAGUUCUACUUGUAAACAUCUUGUUUCUUGUAGUUCCAGUCAGAGAAACAUCCAGCAACUUUUUUGGUUGUAUAGUCAAAGGUGCUUGAGUCAUUGGCAUGUGAGAUAAAUACACCUGCAUGUUAGUCUUAGGUUCUGAUAGAAAUGACAUGCAAUUGUGCUGCCAUAUUUUGCUAUCAGGACUUGGCUGGUGUGCGGACACU